GAUGAACGCUGGCGGCGUGCCUAAUACAUGCAAGUCGAGCGAACAGACGAGGAGCUUGCUCCUCUGACGUUAGCGGCGGACGGGUGAGUAACACGUGGAUAACCUACCAAUAAGACUGGGAUAACUUCGGGAAACCGGAGCUAAUACCGGAUAAUAUAUUGAACCGCAUGGUUCAAUAGUGAAAGACGGUUUUGCUGUCACUUAUAGAUGGAUCCGCACCGCAUUAGCUAGUUGGUAAGGUAACGGCUUACCAAGGCAACGAUGCGUAGCCGACCUGAGGGGGUGAUCGGCCACACUGGAACUGAGACACGGUCCAGACUCCUACGGGAGGCAGCAGUAGGGAAUCUUCCGCAAUGGGCGAAAGCCUGACGGAGCAACGCCGCGUGAGUGAUGAAGGUCUUCGGAUCGUAAAACUCUGUUAUUAGGGAAGAACAAAUGUGUAAGUAACUAUGCACGUCUUGACGGUACCUAAUCAGAAAGCCACGGCUAACUACGUG
rnacentral:rRNA from 1 species